rnacentral:lncRNA from 1 species
AGAUAAUCAUACAAAGAACUAGCCCUUUCCAACUCACUGUAAAUCCUCAAUCCAUGUUAGCUUUUUGUAACAUUAAUAACAUAGCAAUAAUAAUUUGUAGCUUGAAUAAUAGUAAGUUGCCUAAAGAGAUGUAGCUAAGGAAGUCUGAGUUAGCCUUUGGACUCUGAACUGCCUCUGCAUUUAGCACACUGAUAUGCAGAGCAAGCUGUAUCCACACUGAUCUCAGUGUGCUGCAGUUUCAAAAGCUGUUCAGCUGGGAUCAAGGAAAGCAAUGACCGCCUACUCCCCAAAUCCUUUCUAUUUCGAAAUUCCCAGGUCAAUGAUGACCAUUGCCAGAGGGUCUCAGGAAGGUGGAAUCCACAUGGAGAGUUGGAAAAGGGAGGCCGAGGUGGGCAGAUCACCUGAAGUCAGGAGUUCAAGACCAGCCUGGCCACCAUGGCGAAACCUCGUCUCUACUAAAAAAUACAAAAAUUAGCUGGGUGUUGCAGUGGGUACCUGUAAUUCCAGCUACUUAGGAGGCUGAGGCAGGGAGAACUGCUUGAACCCAGAAAGCGGAGGUUGCAGUGAGCUGUGAUUGUGCCACUACACUCCAGCCUGCAACCCUGUCACAAAAAAAAAAAAAAAAAGAAAGAAAGAAAAAAAGAAAAAUGAGUGGGAACUGAGGAAGUCUAAAUAAAAUUCUAAACAGCAAGUAUAAACCUUUGUUUUUUCAAUGAAGAGGAAUCACUAGAGUGGACACAGGAGGAUGGUGGAAAUUGAAGACAGGUAAGAAUAGAACACAUUUAUUGACGGAGAGGAGGGAGCUAGCAGAAAGUAUGGUUAACAGAGAGAGAAAAUAAGUGAAGACCCCAGUCCUUAAGGAAGGACUGUGAGGAUGGGGCAAGAGGAGGGAAGGAAAAGCGUCACCUCUUCCACUGAGGGCUAGAAAGGAGGUGGAGACAAGUGCAUAGGCAUUUGCAUGUCUGAGCAGGGCUUUGAAGAGGGUAAAUGUCUAAAAGCCUCUAGCAUCUCAGAAAAGUUGAAGAUGAGGUUAUAUGCUACACUGGAGAGGAGUAGAGACAAGACUGGAAAAUUUGAGUGCAUGGCUUCAGGUCUGAAAUAAACAUUGGAAGGCGACAGAGAGGAAGUUGAACCAGUCUGUGUAGAAGGAUGUGAGCACUGGGAUUUCAAAGACGAGGUUUGUAGAGGCCCCAGUCUGCAUCUUUAUAUGAUUUCCUCCAGCAUUUUUGUAACAUUACAUUGCAUUUUGUAACAUUGCUGAGCCCCUCUUUGAGUAAUUGGCAGAAAAGGCUGAGUCCUCAUAGAAUUGUGUGCUAUUUCUAAAACAUAUCCAUGGUUUAAAAAGCUUUAAGAUCUAUAAACUAAAAUCCACCCAUUUUGCAGGAUGAUUCACAGUGUCGACAGUUUGGAUCAAUUUCCUGAAGAAAGGACAAAACUGGAAGCUAUUCUUUAUUCUUUCUUUCAGAGCAAGGCACUAUUACCAUGAGGACUAUGCUAAGAAUGUAUGAGAGAAAGCAAGAGAGAGCUGUCUCAGGGGCCCAGAAUGUCAGGAUACCCAAGAGAGUGGAGGAAGAAUUGGGAGAACUAAAUAUAGGCCUCCUUUGGCCUAAGCAUGCAACUGCUGCAAAGGUUACUCUGAUGGAGCCCAUCAAUGUUGAUGAGAGAAGAGAAUUCCAACCAGUGAGAUGAGAAUUGCACAAAUCCUGCAGCCCAUCUCUGCCACAGCUCAAAAUUGUUGGGUAAGUAAUGACCCAGACCAUUGAAGAAAAUGAGGAAACUGUGCACACAGACUGAUGUCUUAUGUGACCAACAUGCAUAUAAGAAAUGGAAGCUUCCCCCUAUCUUUCCAGAGUUCAAAAAUCCUAUUGCUGAAUUCACCUCCAAUUCCAUGAAACAAUAUAAAAGAUCCUCCAUAAAGACCCCAGGUUAUAAUGUUUACAAUUUAUUUUGUACUCCUUUUCUCUGGUAAUUGAUGACUGCUAUUAUUAAUGAAGACAUUACAAGGAAUAAAAGGGCUUGCCUGCCACUUCUCACCACAAAACCGUGUGGCAUCAAACAGAAUGAAAUCCUUCUGACACUGACAGCUGGAGAAAACCUUGUCACCACAGUGACAGUGUCAAGUGUGGUGUGACAUCUCUGUGUGUGUUUCUUUUGCACCUAAUAACUUCGUUGCCAAUACAGACCAAAAUAAUGAAAGAAAACCUGCUUUUGCCAGCCCAAAGGAUUAACUGUACUGUUGAGAAAACUGCAGGAAUAUUUGACAUGAGAUCACAAUUUUUAAUUCUUUUCCCCCCAGGAUUCUGCAUGAAGUAUUUUUCUAUGAAGGAUUUAAAUAGAAUUACUUUUCCUCACAUUGGUCAUGGAGAGAAUUAAGACAUUAACUGUUGAUCCAAUUUAUACUGCCAUUUGAUCCCAUAAGUGCUAUACAGGACUCGGUUACUCAUGGAAAAUAGUUCCUGCCAGAUCAAACACUCUCAGGGCCAAAGUCACAAGAUUCUGACUUUACAUGCUCUGUUCUGCCUCCUUUCAUUUUGCCUCUUGGAUUGUCAUGAACUUCCUGAGCAAGAAGGCCAUCCACCAUGCAGUGUAAUGUCUUGCUAAGAGAAAUUAGUAUUCAGUCUGCUCAGGUUCCAGCAAGGACUUUCUUCAUGAAGAUCUUCAAGUGGAAUCAAGGUAGGAACUGUUAUCCUUUUCAGUCCUUGUGCUAUUCAUUCACACCUUGGAACAAAAACAAAGCUGAACUCUUUAGAGGGGAAAAUUGAUACCGCAUGGUUUCUGGUGUAUCUGCAACUUUUGGCUCUGGUUUGGAAAAGGGUGUGUAUGUGUCAUGCACACAUGUCUAUUUCAUCCUAUCUGACAAAUACCUUUGUGAAUUGCUUUGUUGACUAUUUGGGUGUUACUGCAGGUUACAAAUUUCUAAGAGGGCUGGGAGACGUCUUUAAAUCCCAUAGGCAUUGGAUCAUGUGUCCUCUAGUGGCCAUGAACACUAGUUUUAGAUGAAAGGUCUCAUUUUCAGAUAAGUAUGAGGAAUACUUUAUUUUCAGCCCUCUCUUUUAAGAGGCAUAAAAUCUUUUAGUGCUGAAAACACUUGUACUACCUAUAAUAAAGAAUUAUGUUUAAGUCAGUGUGUUCCUAAUUUGACUAUGGAAUUCAAACUUCUUGUAAGAGUCCACAGACCAGGUAAGACUUAAAGAUUUGCCAACAUUCAAAACCUCUGAAAAAUAACCCAUUACUUGGCAGCUAGGUGAUCUCCCUCCUAAUUUAUCUGGCUCUAUUUUCUUUUCUCUACCAUCACCAAUAGCAUCUUUCUAAUCCCUCACUCGGAUCUUCUCAUUCCUCCAUUCAUUAGAAUACCAGUUCAUUUCUUCAAUAAACAUGCCAAAUAGGAGUGGCUCUAACAAGACGGGAAGUUUUUUCUGAUGUGACAGUCUGUAUAUUUGCAGUCCAGGACUUGAAUGGUGACAGCAAGAGGACAGAGGCUCCAGGUUCCUUUUGUUUUAGUGCUCUGCCAUGUGUAGGGUGUUUCCCAUCCAAAUGUUCCAAGAUGUCUUACCACUGUGUCUGUAUUCCAGGCAAUGGGAAGGAGGGAAGGUGAAGGGGAGAGAAUUUUCCUUCCUUGCAAGAGCAUCAUCUGCAAGUUGUGUUUCUGCUCACACCCCAUUGACAGAGCUUUAUUGCUUGAUCACAGCUAGCUGCAAACGAGGCUAGGAGAUGUUUUAGUCAGUCUGGUAGCCUUUGUCACACUACAAUUUCUAUGUUAGAGGAGAGAGAGAGAGAACAUAUAUUAGGGAAUAGCUAACCAUCUCUGCUACACCUAUGACCUUCCAUUUGUCUCUUACAAUGAGUUUGUGAAGUUAGAAUUUUUAUCCCAAGUUUUCCACUGAGAAAAAUAAAGCUCAUAAACCUGAAAUAAUUUUAAUAUUGUCACCAUGUUAAGAAUGAUUAAGGGUGUGAAGUUUUGUCUGCUUCCAAGCUAACAAGGGAGCCGCCACAAUUGCAUGGAUUCUUGCAGAAGACACAGAUUCCUGAGUCAGACACAGAGGACUUUAUCACUCAUGGCACAGCAAGCAGCAUCAGCUCCAAUAUUCAUGUAGGUUCUUCUUGUCCUCCAAAUCCUAUGGGGCAUUAGGGGGUGGCCAAGGUAGAUGCUGCAAACGCAGUCGGUUUGCACCAAAGGUGAAAAACCCCGAGCUUAGGAAACUACAAGCUUUUAAAGAGGCUAUAAGGAAACCUGCCCAACUUUUUCCUUAGAAGGAAACCUUUUUUUUAGUAUCCUAGUUAAGAAACAAAUCUCUCUGCUUGAGAGAGGCACGCUACCUCUAACCUCCAAGAAGUUCACCAUACAAAUAUUCUUGGAAGGCAGUCCCAAAUAAAAGUCUCUUUGUUGACAAGGCUUGCAGAAACAUGAGACACCCCUGGACAUUUUUUUUCCCAACACACAGAUAGUCUUGCUAUCUUCAUUACAAUAAAGGUACUUCUUCAAGAAAUCUCCCACUGACCAUGCCUCCAUCAUCAGGGCAGUUCUCACUUUUUAUUGUAAUUGUUCACACCUCUGGAUCUCCAUAUUGGAAUAUCAGUUCCUUGAAGGCAGGGGCUAUGGCUUUGCUUUUAUAUCCCUAGCACCUAACACAUUACUUGGAAUAUGGAACAUGUUCAACAACUAUUUUGAAUGAAGUAUAUUAGAAUAAGAUUUACUUAAGGGAUAGAACAAAUCAGCAAGCAUUACAUGUUAUUGAAUCCACUUGAGGUUCUCUUUGUAUGGAUCCUAGGGUAGGUGGCUAAUUUUUAUGAUUCAGGCCUCAAAUACCACUCCCCUGACCACUGUAUUUAAAACAUCAUUCUAGAUAAGUCUAAUGAUAAGCACUUGUCACUACCUAAUAUUAUUCUGCUUGUUUAUUUAGGUAUCUGACUCCCCUUCUAGAAUAGAAACCCAUGACUUCAAGGACUUGCCUAUCUAGUUCAUGACUAUAUUUCUAUACUCUAAAAUAGUGUCGGGCCUAAAAUAGAAGUUUCAUAGGUAUUUUUGAAUGAAUAAGUGAAUGAGUAAAUUCAGCAAACAUUCACUAAGUUUAUACCAUCUGCUAGGAACAAAAUGUUUUACCAUGUCACAGUGGCCCACAAAGAAUACUGUUACUUUGGACAACUGAAACAAUUCAAUAUCUGGGUUGAGUUGAGUGGCAGCAUCACUUUUGUUGGGGCAGUGAGCUUCCAUUCCUCACUACAGAUAUUCCACUGCUGGCUUGAGCUGGGUCCUGAACACUGUCCUUUCCUGGUCUUGCUGGCGAAGGCAUCCUGUGCCAGCAGGCAGCUUCAUUGCCUUCCUCUCCUCUCCGAGCCCCUACGUAGCCAUCCUGCUUAUCAGGUGCACACAGUUCUGGUCAGGUAGCCUCAGGGAGCCCAUCUGAUUGGCUCUGUGGGUCCCCACACCUCCAAGAACUCCAUGCCUUUCAUAUGAUGCUUAACCAUUUGUUUAUCCUCAUUCUUACCUGGGCAGCAGGUAGCUAUCAGACCCUCUCUCACCUUUCCUUUACUCUUCUUCCACCUCUACUUGAUCUCCUGUAGCAGCCUUGCCCAUGAAGUCAUGCCUGUGGCUCCACUGAGAAAUUCGAUUAAGUAUUCCAAUACUGCUGUGAAACGAAGUGAUCUGAUUCCGGUGAGACAAUUUAUCUUGCAAGGUAUAUCAAUACUCAUUUUAUUCAUUAUUUACCCAUUUCCAAAAAUGAUGUGAAGUGGGAAAAUGUCAAUGUUGAACAACAAAAAUAGUAAAAUCCCUUUGGGGGGAAGAUCAUUAUAAUUUGUUUAAAUGCUGACAAAUAUUGAUAUCAAUGGUAAACGUAGAAGUGGGGCAUGAGGGAAAUUACCAGAGGGAAAUGACUAGGAUAUUUUUCAAGCCAUCAUUGAUUCAAAAUGAAUUAUGAGAGUAGAGCUUUGCAUGGAAAAUUAAAGGCCUAAUACUAAAAAUAAUUAUUAAGCAUUUUCUUACUUUUGUAGAUGAAGAAGUUACCUCAGAGAAGUCAAAUAAUUUACCCAGAGUCACAAAAUAAGCAAAUGAUGGAAUAUUCAAAUCCAGGUCUUCUGACUCUACCUCUAUCUGCCUUAGAGGUUUCUGAAGUAUUGAUAAGAUGGAGGCUGGAAGAGCUUGAAACAGACCAUAUAAAGCCAGGUCUGAGCUGGAAAAGCAAAGAGGCCCAAGGAACAGCACAGACCCUGACUGGUGGGGUAUCUGUGUAUUUUAAAUAACAAAUACAACAAAGAUUCAAGGUUCAGCAUGUACCCAGAUGUUUCCAUUAUUGAUAUAUAUAUGCCAGUUUAAAAUAUUUAAAUGGAAAACAGUUUGUGUCCACUUCAUUUUAGAACUAUGCCAGUUACAGGAAUCACCCCAGUAUCAGUUAUGUCUUACUCAUGUCAAAGAACCAGGGUCAGAAGAAAAAAAUCUCCAGUAAAGAUCCUUGCAACUCAGGAACACUCUUUCCUCUGAAUACUGCUAUGAACUAGAGUUAAAAGAAAGCAUUUUUUAAAAGAAAUGAUUUAUUCGUUCCUCAUGAUAAACAUAUCAAAACAUCACAUUGUACCACAUAAAUAUAUGCAAUUAUUUGGUUAACUGAAAAUAAAA